GUGGUCAUAGCUCAGUUGGUUAGAGCGGUUGAUUGUGGUUCAACAGGUCGUGGGUUCGAGCCCCAUUUUCCACC
rnacentral:tRNA from 1 species